rnacentral:rRNA from 1 species
AUGCGGCGGGAAGAAGUGGCAUUUAGAAGUGUUGCUGACUUUACAUUUAGGUUUCGGCAUAACAAAGCUUGCACUGUCUUUUCGCACUUAGGCGCACAGCGUGCCGUCGGUAAUGAUUCUACUACGGUGCUGCAAAUUUGCAAGCUGAUCCUAAGUAAUCGUUGUUGUUCAUUGGAUUCCUCCGGAAUUACUUCGUUAGGAUUGAAGAAUUGCAGCAAUUCUUCCUGA